rnacentral:rRNA from 1 species
UACAGAGGUCCCAAGCGUUGUUCGGAUUCACUGGGCGUAAAGGGUGCGCAGGCUGUAUGUUAAGUCAACUGUUAAAUUCUUCAGCCUAACUGAAGAUCGGCAGUAGAUACUGGCAAACUAGAGUAUGGAAGAGAGAAGUGGAAUUCUCGGAGUAGCGGUAAAAUGCGUAGAUCUCGAGAGGAACACCGAUGGCGAAGGCAGCUUCUUGGUCCAUUACUGACGCUCAAGCACGAAAGCGUGGGGAGCAAACAGG